rnacentral:rRNA from 1 species
GUGUCAGCAGCCGCGGUAAGACGUGUGGCACAAGCGUUGCUCGGAAUCACUGGGCAUAAAGGGCGCGUAGGCGGUGUCGCAAGUCGGGUGUGAAAGCCCUCGGCUCAACCGAGGAAUUGCACUCGAUACUGCGGCACUAGAGUGUGGGAGGGGGGAGUGGAAUUCCCGGUGGAGCGGUGAAAUGCGUAGAUAUCGGGAGGAACGCCGGUGGCGAAGGCGACUCCCUGGCCCACCACUGACGCUGAGGCGCGAGAGCUAGGGGAGCAAACAGGAUUAGAUACCCUGGUAGUCCUAGCUGUAAACGUUGGGCACUGAGUAGUGGGGGUUGCCGACACUCUCACUGCUGUAGCUAAUGCGGUAAGUGCCCCGCCUGGGGAGUAUGCUCGCAAGGGUGAAACUUAAAGGAAUUGACGGGG